GCAACCCUACCCGAACCCGCGGGUACCCCCCCCGCCCCUACCCGCUCGGGGCGGGUAAUUACCCGCCCCCGCACCGGGGCGGGUUUUAACGGGGCGGGUUCUUGUGCGGGGCGGGGCGGGGUCGGGUUUAGGUUAAACCCGUCCCUACCCGCCCCGGAGUGCAUAAAUAUAUAUAAAAAAAUUAAAAAUUAGGGUUACUUGACUUCACUUCCUCGCCGCCGUCACUCAUUUCAUUUCCAUUCUCAAAUCUCAACCCUAGGCAUUAGGCAAACUCUGAAGCUCACUUCGUCACUCACUCACUCUUCACUCCGUCAGGCUUGAGGCUUCAGGCCUUCAGCUCUUCUCCAACUCUCCAAGGCUGUCAAGGACCACAUCCUCUGCUCAGCUGCGCUAGUAAGUCGCCGUCACAGCUCGUCCGAUCGUUCGCCGUCGCUCACCAAGACACCAACCGUCCUCAUUCAUCUCGGUCGCCUCGCCGCUGUCGCUCACGGAGUUCACGUCCGCGUCGCUUCCACUUCUCGCCGUCACUGUCCUUGCCGACUCGCCUCUCCAAUCUGCGGUCUUUGGUCUGUGCUCACCUUGUCGUCCCUCCUUCCUCCGUCGUCAUCUCUCUGGUGACUGGUUUAAAUUUUGAUUUGCAAACUUUUAAUGAUGAUAAAGAUGUUGAAAGUGAUCAAGAAUAAGGGUUAAGAUU